UCCGGUGUGGUCUAGUGGCUAGGAUUUCUCGCUCUCACGUGAUCAGUAACAUGAUCUAGCAUGGCCCGAGGAGGCAGGGGUUCAAUUCCCCGCACCGGAA